CCAUCGACAUGAUCCACUUCCCG
rnacentral:siRNA from 1 species